GACGAACGCUGGCGGCGUGCUUAACACAUGCAAGUCGAACGGAAAGGCCCUGCUUUUGUGGGGUGCUCGAGUGGCGAACGGGUGAGUAACACGUGAGUAACCUGCCCUUGACUUUGGGAUAACUUCAGGAAACUGGGGCUAAUACCGGAUAGGAGCUCCUGCUGCAUGGUGGGGGUUGGAAAGUUUCGGCGGUUGGGGAUGGACUCGCGGCUUAUCAGCUUGUUGGUGGGGUAGUGGCUUACCAAGGCUUUGACGGGUAGCCGGCCUGAGAGGGUGACCGGCCACAUUGGGACUGAGAGACGGCCCAGACGGCUACGGGAGGCAGCAGGGGGGAAUAUUGCACAAUGAGCGGAAGCCUGAUGCAGCAACGCCGCGUGCGGGAUAACGGCCUUCGGGUUGUAAACCGCUUUCGCCUGUGACGAAGCGGGAGUGACGGUAAUGGGUAAAGAAGCACCGGCUAACUACGUG
rnacentral:rRNA from 1 species